GAUGAACGCUAGCUACAGGCUUAACACAUGCAAGUCGAGGGGAAACGACAUUGAAGCUUGCUUCGAUGGUCGUCGACCGGCGCACGGGUGAGUAACGCGUAUCCAACCUGCCUCUGACCAAGGGAUAACCCGUCGAAAGUCGGCCUAAUACCUUAUGCAGUCGUCGGAAGUCAUCUGAUGACGACGAAAGAUUUCAUCGGUGAGAGAUGGGGAUGCGUCUGAUUAGCUUGUUGGCGGGGUAACGGCCCACCAAGGCAACGAUCAGUAGGGGUUCUGAGAGGAAGGUCCCCCACAUUGGAACUGGGACACGGUCCAAACACCUACGGGAGGCAGCAGUAAGGAAUAAUGGUCAAUGGGCGAGAGCCUGAACCAGCCAAGUAGCGUGCAGGAUGACGGCCCUAUGGGUUGUAAACUGCUUUUAUGCGGGGAUAAAGUGAGGGACGUGUCCUUCAUUGCAGGUACCGCAUGAAUAAGGACCGGCUAAUUCCGUG
rnacentral:rRNA from 1 species